UCUUAUGGAUGAGCAAAGAAAGUGAUUUCUUGAGGCGGGAUCUACUCCUGGUGAAGAUGCUGUGAG
rnacentral:pre_miRNA from 2 species